UACGUAGGGGGCAAGCGUUACUCGGAAUUACUGGGCGUAAAGCGUGAGUAGGCGGUUUCUUAAGUCUGCUGUGAAAGCCCCGGGCUCAACCUGGGAAUUGCAGUGGAUACUGGGAAGCUAGAGUGCGGUAGAGGGUAGUGGAAUUCCCGGUGUAGCGGUGAAAUGCGUAGAGAUCGGGAGGAACACCAGUGGCGAAGGCGGCUCCCUGGACCAGCACUGACACUGAGUCACGAAAGCGUGGGGAGCAAACAGG
rnacentral:rRNA from 1 species